GACGAACGCUGGCGGCGUGCUUAACACAUGCAAGUCGAACGAUGAAGCCUAGCUUGCUUGGUGGGUUAGUGGCGAACGGGUGAGUAAUACGUGAGUAACCUACCUUUAACUCUGGGAUAAGCCUGGGAAACUGGGUCUAAUACCGGAUACGACCAAUCUCCGCAUGGGGUGUUGGUGGAAAGCGUUAUGUGGUGGUUAUAGAUGGGCUCACGGCCUAUCAGCUUGUUGGUGAGGUAACGGCUCACCAAGGCGACGACGGGUAGCCGGCCUGAGAGGGUGACCGGCCACACUGGGACUGAGACACGGCCCAGACUCCUACGGGAGGCAGCAGUGGGGAAUAUUGCACAAUGGGCGCAAGCCUGAUGCAGCGACGCCGCGUGAGGGAUGACGGCCUUCGGGUUGUAAACCUCUGUUAGCAGGGAAGAAGAGAAAUUGACGGUACCUGCAGAGAAAGCGCCGGCUAACUACGUG
rnacentral:rRNA from 1 species